rnacentral:rRNA from 1 species
AGCAGCCGCGGUAAUUCCAGCUCCAAUAGCGUAUAUUAAAGUUGUUGCAGUUAAAAAGCUCGUAGUUGAAUUUCGGGAUUGACGUGAUGGUCGUGCCUUAAGGGGUAUGAACUGUCGCAGUUGAUUUCUCACCUUCUGGAGAAGCUUGAUGUCCUUAAUUGGGUGUCAUGUGGAACCAGGACCUUUACCUUGAAAAAAUUAGAGUGUUUAAAGCAGGCAUUUUGCUCGAAUACAUUAGCAUGGAAUAAUAGAAUAGGACGGCAUGGUUCUAUUUUGUUGGUUUCUAGGAUCACCGUAAUGAUUAAUAGGGAUAGUUGGGGGCAUUAGUAUUCAAUUGUCAGAGGUGAAAUUCUUGGAUUUAUUGAAGACUAACUACUGCGAAAGCAUUUGCCAAGGAUGUUUUCAUUAAUCAAGAACGAAAGUUAGGGGAUCGAAGACGAUCAGAUACCGUCGUAGUCUUAACCAUAAACUAUGCCGACUAGGAAUCAGACGAUGUUAAUUUUUAAUGACUU